rnacentral:rRNA from 1 species
GAUGAACGCUGGCGGCGUGCCUAAUACAUGCAAGUCGAGCGAACAGACGAGGAGCUUGCUCCUCUGACGUUAGCGGCGGACGGGUGAGUAACACGUGGAUAACCUACCUAUAAGACUGGGAUAACUUCGGGAAACCGGAGCUAAUACCGGAUAAUAUAUUGAACCGCAUGGUUCAAUAGUGAAAGACGGUUUUGCUGUCACUUAUAGAUGGAUCCGCGCCGCAUUAGCUAGUUGGUAAGGUAACGGCUUACCAAGGCAACGAUGCGUAGCCGACCUGAGAGGGUGAUCGGCCACACUGGAACUGAGACACGGUCCAGACUCCUACGGGAGGCAGCAGUAGGGAAUCUUCCGCCAUGGGCGAAAGCCUGACGGAGCAACGCCACGUGAGUGAUGAAGGUCUUCGGAUCGUAAAACUCUGUUAUUAGGGAAGAACAAAUGUGUAAGUAACUAUGCACGUCUUGACGGUACCUAAUCAGAAAGCCACGGCUAACUACGUG